GAUGAGCUCGCGUCCUAUCAGCUUGUUGGCGGGGUAAUGGCCCACCAAGGCUUUUGACGGGUAGCUGGUCUGAGAGGAUGGUCAGCCACAUUGGGACUGAGACACUGCCCAGACUCCUACGGGAGGCUGCAGUCGAGAAUCUUUUGCAAUGCUCGAAAGAGUGACAAUGCGACGCCGCGUGUGCGAUGAAGGUCUUCGGAUUGUAAAGCACUGUCAGCCGGGAGGAAGGUCUUCUCCUUUAAUAAAGGAGAAGGUUGACAGUACCGGCAGAGGAAGCCACGGCUAACUCCGUGCCAGCAGC
rnacentral:rRNA from 1 species